UUCGCGAUGAACAAGCUUCUGAUGAUAGCCCUUUUUAGCUUGGUGUUUGCGACAAGCUUGACGCUUUCGUAUGAUGAUGAAGAUGAUGAUGAAUACGAAAGGGAAUUUACUGCCUUAAAGGACGCCAGAAAUGAUUUGGAAAGUGAGGACGUGGACGUAGACGGUGAUAAACCAUAUGAGGAGAGGAAAAAGGAGGAUGGUUACGUUGUUGGAGUCAAAGAUGAACGCCCCUUGUCCGGCCCAAUGCAGAAGUCAGCUGAUCCAAUCCUACCUGCUUUAGGGCUCCGACUAGUGGGCCGAGCUAUUUUUCGCCGUCGUCGCCGAAGACGUCGUCGAAGAAGAAGAUGGGGUUAAUGCAUUUACACCAGAUGAAAGGACAUUCCGUGGCUUAAAGAGGCUUGAAAAGGACACUCUAAUCUGAAGAAA